CCUACGGGGGGCAGCAGUGGGGGAUAUUGCACAAUGGGGGAAACCCUGAUGCAGCGACGCCGCGUGGGUGAAGAAGCGCCUCGGCGCGUAAAGCCCUGUCAGCAGGGAAGAAAAUGACGGUACCUGAAGAAGAAGCCCCGGCUAACUAAGUGCCAGCAGCCGCGGUAAUACGUAGGGGGCAAGCGUUAUCCGGAUUUACUGGGUGUAAAGGGGGCGCAGACGGCGAUGCAAGCCAGGAGUGAAAGCCCGGGGCCCAACCCCGGGACUGCUCAUGGAACUGCGUGGCUAGAGUGCAGGAGGGGCAAGCGGAAUUCCUGGUGUAGCAGUGAAAUGCGUAGAUAUCAGGAGGAACACCGGUGGCGAAGGCGGCCUGCUGGACUGCAACUGACGUUGAGGCCCGAAGGCGUGGGGAGCAAACGGGAUUAGAUACCCCUGUAGUC
rnacentral:rRNA from 1 species